GAAAUGAAAGGAGAUGUGUUUCACGUUGUACCACUUGCAGGAAAGGGAAAGAUUGAGCUAACCGUUACUGAGCUCAGAUUUUGGGGCACAGUAUAUUUGAAACAAUCGAAGAAUGGAAAGUCGAUUCUUAUCGAUAAAUUAGGCGAUGACGCCCAUUUCAGCAUCGCUAAGAUUACGUCCGCCACGGAGUUUGACGGCAACAUAGACGAGAUCUUCAACGCCAUCAUAGAGGAUACCUUAGCCGACUACCUGACCCGGUUCAACGGCGUCAUCGUGAGCACCUUCGCAGCGGACUUCGUGGAGACCCUCAACUCUGUCCUGGGACUGUACGAGACUUGGCGACUGAUCGCCGCCAUUAUUUAUGACUGAAAU